GGAUGUAUGGCAGAGAGGUUUAUUGCGUAAUAUUUGAGCUAUUAAAACUUAUUGAAGUUCACGUGUUCGAAUCACGUUACAUCCG
rnacentral:tRNA from 3 species